GAUGAACGCUGGCGGCGUGCCUAAUACAUGCAAGUCGAGCGAACGGACGAGAAGCUUGCUUCUCUGAUGUUAGCGGCGGACGGGUGAGUAACACGUGGAUAACCUACCUAUAAGACUGGGAUAACUUCGGGAAACCGGAGCUAAUACCGGAUGAUAUUUUGAACCGCAUGGUUCAAAAGUGAAAGACGGUCUUGCUGUCACUUAUAGAUGGAUCCGCGCUGCAUUAGCUAGUUGGUAAGGUAACGGCUUACCAAGGCAACGAUGCAUAGCCGACCUGAGAGGGUGAUCGGCCACACUGGAACUGAGACACGGUCCAGACUCCUACGGGAGGCAGCAGUAGGGAAUCUUCCGCAAUGGGCGAAAGCCUGACGGAGCAACGCCGCGUGAGUGAUGAAGGUCUUCGGAUCGUAAAACUCUGUUAUUAGGGAAGAACGUAUGUGUAAGUAACUGUGCACAUCUUGACGGUACCUAAUCAGAAAGCCACGGCUAACUACGUGCCAGCAGCCGCGGUAAUACGUAGGUGGCAAGCGUUAUCCGGAAUUAUUGGGCGUAAAGCGCGCGUAGGCGGUUUUUUAAGUCUGAUGUGAAAGCCCACGGCUCAACCGUGGAGGGUCAUUGGAAACUGGAAAACUUGAGUGCAGAAGAGGAAAGUGGAAUUCCAUGUGUAGCGGUGAAAUGCGCAGAGAUAUGGAGGAACACCAGUGGCGAAGGCGACUUUCUGGUCUGUAACUGACGCUGAUGUGCGAAAGCGUGGGGAUCAAACAGGAUUAGAUACCCUGGUAGUCCACGCCGUAAACGAUGAGUGCUAAGUGUUAGGGGGUUUCCGCCCCUUAGUGCUGCAGCUAACGCAUUAAGCACUCCGCCUGGGGAGUACGACCGCAAGGUUGAAACUCAAAGGAAUUGACGGGGACCCGCACAAGCGGUGGAGCAUGUGGUUUAAUUCGAAGCAACGCGAAGAACCUUACCAAUCUUGACAUCCUUUGACAACUCUAGAGAUAGAGCCUUCCCCUUCGGGGGACAAAGUGACAGGUGGUGCAUGGUUGUCGUCAGCUCGUGUCGUGAGAUGUUGGGUUAAGUCCCGCAACGAGCGCAACCCUUAAGCUUAGUUGCCAUCAUUAAGUUGGGCACUCUAAGUUGACUGCCGGUGACAAACCGGAGGAAGGUGGGGAUGACGUCAAAUCAUCAUGCCCCUUAUGAUUUGGGCUACACACGUGCUACAAUGGACAAUACAAAGGGCAGCGAAACCGCGAGGUCAAGCAAAUCCCAUAAAGUUGUUCUCAGUUCGGAUUGUAGUCUGCAACUCGACUACAUGAAGCUGGAAUCGCUAGUAAUCGUAGAUCAGCAUGCUACGGUGAAUACGUUCCCGGGUCU
rnacentral:rRNA from 1 species